AAGUCGAACGAAGUAGCAAUACUUAGUGGCAGACGGGUGAGUAACAUGUAGGUAUCUGCCCUUUGGCCUGGAAUAACACGAGGAAACUUGUGCUAAUACCGGAUAAGUCUUUACGGAGAAAGCUUUAUGCACCAUUGGAUGAGCCUGCACUUGAUUAGUUUGUUGGUGGGGUAAUGGCCUACCAAGACUGUGAUCAAUAGCUGAUUUGAGAGGAUGAUCAGCCACAUUGGGACUGAGACACGGCCCAAACUCCUACGGGAGGCAGCAGUGGGGAAUCUUGCACAAUGGAGGAAACUCUGAUGCAGCGAUGCCGCGUGAGUGAAGAAGGCCUUUGGGUUGUAAAGCUCUUUCGUCGGGGAAGAAAAUGACUGUACCCGAAUAAGAAGGUCCGGCUAACUUCGUGCCAGCAGCCGCGGUAAUACGAAGGGACCUAGCGUAGUUCGGAAUUACUGGGCUUAAAGAGUUCGUAGGUGGUUGAAAAAGUUAGUGGCGAAAUCCCAGAGCUUAACUCUGGAACUGCCAUUAAAACUUUUCAGCUAGAGUAUGAUAGAGGAAAGCAGAAUUUCUAGUGUAGAGGUGAAAUUCGUAGAUAUUAGAAAGAAUACCAAUUGCGAAGGCAGCUUUCUGGAUCAUUACUGACACUGAGGAACGAAAGCAUGGGUAGCGAAGAAGAUUAGAUACCCUCCUAGUCCAUGCCGUAAACGAUGUGUGUUAGACGUUGGAAAUUUAUUUUCAGUGUCGC
rnacentral:rRNA from 1 species